AGAAAUAGACAACCUUUUGGAAGACCAAGACUUCAAGGAAAUUAGUAGCGCGGAUGAAGAGUCAUCAUCUUUGAAUCCUGGAGACACAAGAAUCACUAGAAGAAGUCAGGAAGAAAUAGAUCAUAUACAAUCAACAAAAGGCAUAGACUGCCACACACAAAAAUUCGGAUUCAUUGUAACUAAUGACCAACUUGAGAUGAAUAAAGAAGGAAAAAGCAAUAUGGCAGUGCCACCAGAAAACGUGCUAGCAGGAAUCGAGAAAGAAGUAACAAUCCUAAAUGGGAACAAGAAAGAAGGUAUUUUGGAUGGACGUUCUACAGGAAUCAAGAA